GAUGAACGCUAGCGGCAGGCUUAAUACAUGCAAGUCGUGGGGCAGCAUGGUGUGUAGCAAUACACACUGAUGGCGACCGGCAAACGGGUGCGGAACACGUACGCAACUUACCCUUAAGUGGGGGAUAGCCCGGGGAAACCCGGAUUAAUACCUCGUAACACUGUGAAGUGGCAUCACUUUAUAGUUAUAGCUCCGGCGCUUAAGGAUGGGCGUGCGUCCCAUUAGGUAGUUGGUUGAGGUAACGGCUCACCAAGCCUGCGCUGGGUAACUGGUGGGGGAGCACGACCAGUAAGACGGGCACUGAGAAACGGGCCCGACUCCGACGGGAGGCAGCAGUAAGGAAUAUUGGUCAAUGGACGCAAGUCUGAACCAGCCAUGCCGCGUGGAGGAUGAAGGCCCUCUGGGUUGUAAACUUCUUUUAUGGGGGACGAAACCCUGGAUUUUUAUCCAGCCUGACGGUACCCCAGGAAUAAGCACCGGCUAACUCCGUGCCAGCAGCCGCUGUAAGAC
rnacentral:rRNA from 1 species